rnacentral:rRNA from 1 species
ACACUCCUGCGGGAGGCAGCAGUGGGGAAUAUUGGACAAUGGGCGCAAGCCUGAUCCAACCAUGCCGCGUGAGUGAUGAAGGCCCUAGGGUUGUAAAGCUCUUUCACCGGUGAAGAUAAUGACGGUAACCGGAGAAGAAGCCCCGGCUAACUUCGUGCCAGCAGCCGCGGUAAUACGAAGGGGGCUAGCGUUGUUCGGAUUUACUGGGCGUAAAGCGCACGUAGGCGGACUAUUAAGUCAGGGGUGAAAUCCCGGGGCUCAACCCCGGAACUGCCUUUGAUACUGGUAGUCUUGAGUUCGAGAGAGGUGAGUGGAAUUCCGAGUGUAGAGGUGAAAUUCGUAGAUAUUCGGAGGAACACCAGUGGCGAAGGCGGCUCACUGGCUCGAUACUGACGCUGAGGUGCGAAAGCGUGGGGAGCAAACAGGAUUAGAUACCCUUGUAGUCCCAUGAU